rnacentral:rRNA from 1 species
CAGUAGCCGCGGGAAUACGUAGGUGGCGAGCGUUGUCCGGAAUUAUUGGGCGUAAAGGGAGCGCAGGCGGGCGAGUAAGUCUUUCUUAAAAGUGCGGGGCUCAACCCCGUGAGGGGAGAGAAACUACUCAUCUUGAGUGCAGGAGAGGAAGGCGGAAUUCCUAGUGUAGCGGUGAAAUGCGUAGAUAUUAGGAAGAACACCAGUGGCGAAGGCGGCUUUCUGGACUGUAACUGACGCUGAGGCUCGAAAGCCAGGGGAGCGAACGGGAUUAGAUACCCGAGUAGUCCCUGUCUCUUAUACA